rnacentral:rRNA from 1 species
GAUGAACGCUAGCGGCAGGCUUAAUACAUGCAAGUCGUGGGGCAGCAGGGUUGUAGCAAUACAAUCGCUGGCGACCGGCAAACGGGUGCGUAACACGUACGCAACCUUCCCGUUACUGUGGCAUAGCCCAGGGAAACUUGGAUUAAUACCACAUAUUAUAUUGAGGGGGCAUCCCUUUGAUAUCAAAGCUUCGGCGGUAACGGAUGGGCGUGCGGUUGAUUAGGUAGUUGGCGGGGUAACGGCCCACCAAGCCUACGAUCAAUAGCUGAUGUGAGAGCAUGAUCAGCCACACGGGCACUGAGACACGGGCCCGACUCCUACGGGAGGCAGCAGUAAGGAAUAUUGGGCAAUGGACGAAAGUCUGACCCAGCCAUGCCGCGUGAAGGAUUAAGGUCCUCUGGAUUGUAAACUUCUUUUCUCUGGGGCGAAAACCAGCUAUUCUUAGCUAUUUGACAGUACCAAAGGAAUAAGCACCGGCUAACUCCGUGCCAGCCGCCGCAGUAACAC